CCACUGUUUAAAUGCUUUCUUUCCUAGCAACCUAGUAGGAAGAGCUCUUGAUGGAAGUAAAAGAACAAUAUCCAGUAAAUAAACCGAAAGAACUUCUUCACAACCAAGUUAAAGAACUGAGGUGUUCUAAUAUAGCCCUCCUGGUAGAAAAUGACAUGUUUGAACACUUCAUUGGUCGUCUGGAUCCUGGGAACUUGGAGUCCAAAGCUGGGGGAGAAGGUCUGCAAUUAACACAAGGCUCCACCAUGGAUGGUAGGGGAGCUGAGAGGAGGCAGAGGCCUCAGUACAAUUUAUCAGAACCUCUCCAGCUUCUGACCUUGGGGCAAAAACUUUAUGUGACACAGAGAGAAGCAACUGAGACACAGGCUGAUCAGGAAAAACUUAAAGCGCACUACGAGAGAAUUCUGGACAACUACAAGUCUUUCAUAAAAGAAGCUGACUUGCGUUCAACUGAGAUCAAGAAAGCCAAAAGAGAUUUUGAACGCAGAUUCUUAAAACCUAUGAAAGGCAGUUUUCUGGAAGUAAAGGAGCCAGAGAAGGUGCUCCAGCACAUUGAAGACAAAUCAAAGGUCACCCAGCUAGAAAGGUUUCACCAGAAGAAUCAGGCAUUGAGAGUCCAAGUGAUGAAGCUCCUGCAGCAGCUCCAACAGAAAAAAGAGAUGAGAAAAGCAGAAUUUGUGGUGGAGGAAGAAAUAUUUUUCCAGGAGUACGAUGAACCCCGAAUGGACAAAAGCCUAAAUGAACUUAAACACAACAGUUCUAAAGUUCAGCGCCUCCUUAGUUCACACAAGGAGAAGCUGCAGAGUUCAACACUGGAGUCCACAGAGCUGAGCAAAGAAAUCACUAAAAGAAAGGAACUGCUUGCAAAACUUGAGGAUCAGAUAAAACGUGCAAAGAAGAAGAGUUUAAAGGCAGAGGGGCUCAACCAAUUCCUGUGCAGAGAGCUUACAGAUUAUCACGCUCCUGAUAUCACCGAGUAUUUUUUCACCAAGGAAAAACACAAGAAGCUGCUACAAAGCAUUCACCAUUGGGAGAGAAAAGUUGGGAUUGCUGAGAUGGCCUUGAAGACUCACAGUAGAGAAUGGAGAAGACAGAGAGGCACUCUCACUCCUUCAAACAGCGCUGAGGCUGGAAGUCGGUAUGGCAAUCCUCAGAUCUCAGUAAAGCUCCCAUGCAUAGCAGAAGACAGUACUUCAGAUAAAUGAUUAUCUAGAUAGCAAUGAAGUAAAAGUAUAUCAUUAGAAAUCACAAAAAUGUGAUACUUUUUCAAAGCUGAUUUUACCAGCCAGGAUAAGUUGCUUAAAAACAAUGUAAGGAUAUGAAGAUCUAACUUUUUGUGUCUUUUCUUUUAAAUUUAAAUGUAGUCUUCCACAAAGAAACGAUCAUGAAAAAUAUAAUUGUAGAAUUUAUAUUUAGAAUCUUGUUCAAAUUUUCGAGAUUGUCAAUUGGAAGCCAAAUGUUUAUCUCAUGUGGUCGUCUCACCUUUCCAAUUUCACUGAAGAGUAUAUGGAUAUAUUCAUGUUAUCUACCUUAUUUAAAAAAAAUACAAUUAAAGCUUUUGCUGUAAUACUCCUAAGGGAUUGUUAGAAUAAUUAUGUUUAUCAUUCUUACAUACAGUAAGUAGUUACUAUUUUGUUUUUCAUUUAAAGGUUUAGUAUUCACACCCCAGGGAGGAAGAAUCUGUUAAACCGUGUGAAAGACAAACUUUGCUUUUUCCCUAAACCUUGAAGCUGCAGCUGCUUUCUAAUCUAGGGAUCCUCCUUAAAGGGCCUGUGUGUUAGUUUAUGUGUUCUUCCUUGUUUCAGAAUAGCUAUUCUUUGAUUUAUCACUCUCCCACAUUUCACUCUCGACUCCCUUCUUUCUCCUGCUGAAGAAAAAGACGGGAUCUGCUGCAGGAAGUCAGAACGCAUGGUAAACAAAAUACCUAUCAGGGAUAGAAGAAAUUA